rnacentral:lncRNA from 1 species
GUACUAUGUCUUUUUGUAACACUGUCUAUGGGUUGUUUAGAACAAACAGUGGGACCUCUAAGAUGAUAGAGGGAGAGAGAGACACGGGACCAGAACAGGACAGUUCUUUUGUGUCAGUGUUUUUGGAGGAAAUGUAAAGGAUACAUUUUAUACAAAAGUGAAGCCGCUUCAAAUACCCAAAACCCCUUGUCCCCUGAGCCUUCCCAAUCCCAAACAUAUACCCAGCCCUGCCCAGCCUCUACACUCACGUCACCUGGUCUAACCUAUUCAUGACAGGAUAUACCCAGCCCUGCCCAGCCUCUACCCUCGCUUCACCUGGUCUAACCUAUUCAUGACAGGAUAUACCCAGCCCUGCUUAGCCUCUACACUCACGUCACCUGGUCUAACCUAUUCAUGACAGGAUAUACCCAGCCCUGCCCAGCCUCUACCCUCACUUCACCUGGUCUAACCUAUUCAUGACAGGAUAUACCCAGCCCUGCCCAGCCUCUACCCUCACUUCACCUGGUCUAACAUAUUCAUGACAGGUCUAACCUAUUCCUGACAGGUCUGGUCUAACCUAUUCCUGACAGGUCUGGUCUAACCUAUUCCUGACAGGUCUGGUCUAACCUAUUCCUGACAGGUCUGAUCUAACCUAUUCAUGACAGGUCUGGUCUAACCUAUUCAUGACAGGCCAGGUCUAACCUAUUCAUGACUGGUCUAACCUAUUCAUUACAGGUCUGGUCUAACCUAUUCAUGACAGGUCUAACCUAUUCAUGACAGGUCUGGUCUAACCUAUUCAUGACAGGUCUGGUCUAACCUAUUCCUGACAGGUCUGGUCUAACCUAUUCCUGACAGGUCUGGUCUAACCUAUUCAUGACAGGUCUGGUCUAACCUAUUCAUGACAGGUCUAACCUAUUCAUGACAGGCCAGGUCUAACCUAUUCAUGACAGGCCUGGUCUAACCUAUUCAUGACAGGCCAGGUCUAAACUAUUCAUGACAGGCCAGGUCUAACCUAUUCAUGACAGGCCUGGUCUAACCUAUUCAUGACAGGCCAGGUCUAACAUAUUCAUGACAGGCCAGGUCUAACAUAUUCAUGACAGGCCAGGUCUAACCUAUUCAUGACAGGCCUGGUCUAACCUAUUCAUGACAGGCCAGGUCUAACCUAUUCAUGACAGGCCUGGUCUAACCUAUUCAUGACAGGUUUGGGUAAAUAACAGGAGAAAUGUGAUGACUAAAACACCAGAGAACUGGGGAGAAAAUAGGAGUCAACGUCAUAAACUGACUGACAUACAAUGAGUGUACAAAACAUUAAGAACACCUUCCUAAUAUUGACUUGCACCCUUUUGCCCUCAGAACAGCCUCAAUUUGUCGGGGUAUGGACUCUACAAGGUGUUGAAAGCGUUCCACGGGGAUGCAGUUGUGUCAAGUCAGCUGGAUGUCCUUUGGUUGGUUAACCAUUCUUGAUACACACGGGAAACUGUUGAGCGUGAAAAACCCAGCAACGUUGCAGUUCUUGACACAACGGUGCGCCCAGCACCUACUACCAUACCCUGUUCAAAGACACAUUUUUCUUGCCCACUCACCCUCUGAAUGUCCCACAUACACAAUCCAUGUCUCAAUUGUCUCAAGUCUUAAAAAUCCUUCUUUAACCUGUCCUUCACUGAUUGAAAUGGAUUUAACAAGUGACAUCAAUAAGGGAUAAUAGCUUUCACCUGGUCAGUCUAGGGGUGGCAGGUAGCCUAGUGGUUAGAGCGUUGGACUAGUAACCAAAAGGUUGCAAGAUCGAAUCCCUGAGCUGACAAGGUACAAAUCUGUCGUUCUGCCCCUGAACAAGGCAGUUAACCCACUGUUCCUAGGCCGUCAUUGAAAAUAAGAAUUUGUUCUUAACUGACUUGCCUAGUUAAAUAAAAGUAAAACGUAAUGGAAAGAACAGGUGUUUUUGUACACUCAUAAUGUUUUGUACACUCAGUGUAUAUGUAAAUAAAUGAAAUGUAUACACACAUUGAAAUGAAUUUCAAACCCAUUGAAGUGAAUGUAAUGUAUUUCAACACAGGGUAUUACAUUUGUAAAAAUGAAUCAAUCACUCACCACCAGCAUUUACUACAGGACUGAGUUCACGUCUCCGUGUUUCACAGCUGUGUUGUGAUUGGAUACGUUUUGCAGUUCUGGGCUCUCAUUGGAUGAUUUUGCCAGUUGUGGGCUUUCAUCUCACCCUGUGUCACUUGUUCUCAUUGAGUUAUUUGUUGUAAAUUGUCGCCAGCUGUUACUGUGUUAGACUGUCCUAUUAGGUCUCUGUUCUGUCUGUCACUCUGUCAGACUGUCCUAGCAGGACUCUGUUCUGACUGUCACUCUGUCAGACUGUCCUAGCAGGUCUCUGUUCUGACUGUCACUCUGUCAGACUGUCCUAGCAGGACUCUGUUCUGACUGUCACUCUGUCAGACUGUCCUAGCAGGACUCUGUUCUGUCUGUCACUCUGUCAGACUGUCCUAGCAGGACUCUGUUCUGUCUGUCACUCUGUCAGACUGUCCUAGCAGGACUCUGUUCUGACUGUCACUCUGUCAGACUGUUCUAGCAGGACUCUGUUCUGACUGUCACUCUGUCAGACUGUCCUAGCAGGACUCUGUUCUGACUGUCACUCUGUCAGACUGAUCUAGUAGGACUCUGUUCUGACUGUCACUCUGUCAGACUGUCCUAGCAGGACUCUGUUCUGUCUGUCACUCUGUCAGACUGAUCUAGUAGGACUCUGUUCUGACUGUCACUCUGUCAGACUGUCCUAGCAGGACUCUGUUCUGUCUGUCACUCUGUCAGACUGUCCUAUUAGGUCUCUGUUCUGUCUGUCACUCUGUCAGACUGUCCUAUUAGGUCUCUGUUCUGUCUGUGACUCUGUCAGACUGUUCUAGCAGGACUCUGUUCUGACUGUCACUCUGUCAGACUGUCCUAGCAGGUCUCUGUUCUGACUGUCCUAGCAGGUCUCUGUUCUGACUGUCCUAGCAGGUCUCUGUUCUGACUGUCCUAGCAGGUCUCCACAGCAUUCUGGGAGUACUGUUCUGUCUGUAAAGUCAAAUCCCCUGGUUGCUCGUUUUAUGUUUUCUAUUGUAAACAAUGAGAUGCUUUUGGAAUAAAAGUCUAAAGCAAAACAUUCCAGUUAGCUACAGCUGUGUGUCACUCUGUACCGCUGUGUGUCACUCUGUACUGCUGUGUGUCACUCUGUACCGC